GGGAGAGACCAAGACAAGAGACAGAGAGAGUGUGAGAGAGAUAGGGAAAGAGAGAUGGGAGUCUCUGUGGGUUGGUUUGUUGGGUAAAAUAUGUAAGAGUCACAGGAAACAGCCUACUGUCUUAACAAGCCUCAUCCUGGUUCUCCUCUAGCUCAGCAGAGCGUCGAGCGGCCGACAGCUGCCUGGCUUUGUGAUUAAAGGCUACAUUCUGCUGCCCAGUCACAUAGGCCUGGAAGAGGGUGGACCGUGUCCUCAGGGCCAAAUCCAUCCAGUUAGGAAACAGGAGAACAAAACUCAAGAACAAGCUGCGGCCCCACGAGGAGCUGCUUCCCCCGGCCAGGCUGAGAACGGACACUUCCAAACCAGAGGGCAGCAGAGAGGUUCCAAGACACACAGCUCCAGAGACAAUCAGCUCUCCAAACAAAAUGCAAAAGGCCCUGGGGACUCCAGUGACAUUUGAGAUGCAUGGUUUCUGCCCUUAGCCAUUGCUCACCGGCAUGGUCAGCUGCACAGCAGGUCCCCGGCACUCUCUGACAGGGCCAGAAGCACCAGCGGCACAUAGGGGACAAGAAGCACCUCCAGACACAGAGCUCUGGUUGUCCUUGUGAGCCACCACGCCUGGAUGAUGCAAAGGUGGUCCUCCGGCAGAGGUCAGGGAGGCAGAGGAUAACAGGAAUGAAUACUCAGAGAAGGCAACCCUGCU
rnacentral:lncRNA from 1 species